rnacentral:rRNA from 1 species
GACGAACGCUGGCGGCGUGCUUAACACAUGCAAGUCGAACGGAAAGGCCCUGCUUUUGUGGGGUGCUCGAGUGGCGAACGGGUGAGUAACACGUGAGUAACCUGCCCUUGACUUUGGGAUAACUUCAGGAAACUGGGGCUAAUACCGGAUAGGAGCUCCUGCUGCAUGGUGGGGGUUGGAAAGUUUCGGCGGUUGGGGAUGGACUCGCGGCUUAUCAGCUUGUUGGUGGGGUAGUGGCUUACCAAGGCUUUGACGGGUAGCCGGCCUGAGAGGGUGACCGGCAACAUUGGGACUGAGAUAAGGCCCGGACACCUACGGGAGGCAGCAGUGGGGAAUAGUGCACACUGGGCGGAAGCCAGAUGCAGCAACGCCGCGUGCGGGAUGACGGCCUUCGGGUUGUAAACCGCAUUCGCCUGUGACGAAGCGUGAGUGAGGGUAAUGGGUAAAGAAGCACCGGCUAACUACGUG